rnacentral:rRNA from 1 species
AGCUCCAAUAGCGAAUGUUGAUUCUGCUGCAGUUAAAAAGCUCGUAGUUGAAAUUUGAAUCUUGUCUAGGCUAGGUCGUUCGCAUUGAUUUGCGUCUGGCAUCGGCUCAAGACGGAUUUUUCGGUGGUUGAAUGCUUGGGGGUUCAUUCUUCCUUGUUGGACGCCACCCGUUUACUGUGAGAAAAUCUGAAAGCUCAAAUUAGGCCUUUGCCUGAAAGUUUCAGCACGGAAUGAUAAGAGACGACUAUGUCGAUCUUGUUGGUUCAGCGAUAUAGUAAUGAUGAAUAGGAACAAUUGGGGCUAUUUGUAUUCAAGUGUCAGAGGUGAAAUUCGAUGACCCCUUGAAGACAAACUACUGCGAAAGCAUUUAGCAAGGAUGUUUUCAUUAAUCAAGAACGAA